rnacentral:RNase_P_RNA from 1 species
ACGUUCAGGUAAUCGCUGCAGCUUUCGGCUGUAGAGGAAAGUCCAUGCUCGCACGGGCUGAGAUGUCCGUAGUGUUCGUGCCUGGCGAAAAAAUAAGCCAGGGCAGCAAGUUGUUUGCUGACGGCUGGGAAAAUGCCUAAGUCCUUUAUGGAUAUGGUAUGAAUACCUUUAAAAGUGCCACAGUGACGGAGCCUUUCCGGAAACGGAAAGGGUGGAACGAGGUAAACCCCACGAGCGAGAAACCCAAAUUAUGGUAGGGGAGCUUUCUUCCUUGGAAAAAAUGAACGAGGGAGAAGGACAGAAGCUUAUGCAUCUGUAGAUAGAUGAUUACCGCCGAAGUACGAGAUGGAUAAUCGCUUGCAGUACUGAGGAACAAAACAUGGCUUAUAGGA